UGUAUACACACUAUUCAAUGUAUAUAUACUACUACUUAUAAAAUAUACUACAUUAUAUAUACAUUACAAUAUAUAUAGAUAUACUUAUAUACUAAUUUAUAAAACAUAUACACAUGUAUACGUUAAAUAUACACUUCUAUAGAAGAUAUAUGCACAAAUAUACAAAACAUAUGCUACUUAAUAUAAUAAAUUAAUAAUAUUUGGUAGUAAAUUAAUAAUAUAUUAGAAGUAAGUUUUUAAUUUAAAGUAGAAAACUAGAAAUUCAAUUUAAAAUUUUAAAUCGUUAAAUGAAAAAAUAUAAAAAGCAAGGACUAAGGAGUGAAUGAAUUUGGGAAAUUUUAUUGAUUGCAAAAUGAUCCAAAAUUUAUAAUUUACAUGAAUGAAAAAUCUACAAAUUAUGCAUCAUUUUUUCCAACUCAUUCAUGUUAAUAUUAACGGGAACUUGCAUAGGAUAGUCGAAGUCAACGGGGGCAAAACCAUGCAUUGGACUUGAUUCUGCAGAGUUUUCCCGUGAAGUCAUAAUUUCUUCAAGUUU
rnacentral:lncRNA from 1 species